rnacentral:rRNA from 1 species
GAUGAACGCUGGCGGCGUGCCUAAUACAUGCAAGUCGAGCGAACGGACGAGAAGCUUGCUUUUCUGAUGUUAGCGGCGGACGGGUGAGUAACACGUGGAUAACCUACCUAUAAGACUGGGAUAACUUCGGGAAACCGGAGCUAAUACCGGAUAAUAUUUUGAACCGCAUGGUUCAAAAGUGAAAGACGGUUUUGCUGUCACUUAUAGAUGGAUCCGCGCCGCAUUAGCUAGUUGGUAAGGUAACGGCUUACCAAGGCAACGAUGCAUAGCCGACCUGAGAGGGUGAUCGGCCACACUGGAACUGAGACACGGUCCAGACUCCUACGGGAGGCAGCAGUAGGGAAUCUUCCGCAAUGGGCGAAAGCCUGACGGAGCAACGCCGCGUGAGUGAUGAAGGUCUUCGGAUCGUAAAACUCUGUUAUUAGGGAAGAACAAAUGUGUAAGUAACUAUGCACAUCUUGACGGUACCUAAUCAGAAAGCCACGGCUAACUACGUG